rnacentral:rRNA from 1 species
AUUGAACGCUGGCGGCAUGCUUUACACAUGCAAGUCGAACGGUAACAGGUUAAGCUGACGAGUGGCGAACGGGUGAGUAAUGCAUCGGAACGUGCCCGGUCGUGGGGGAUAACGCAGCGAAAGCUGCGCUAAUACCGCAUACGAUCUGAGGAUGAAAGCGGGGGACCGUAAGGCCUCGCGCGAUCGGAGCGGCCGAUGCCAGAUUAGGUAGUUGGUGGGGUAAAGGCUCACCAAGCCAACGAUCUGUAGCUGGUCUGAGAGGACGACCAGCCACACUGGGACUGAGACACGGCCCAGACUCCUACGGGAGGCAGCAGUGGGGAAUUUUGGACAAUGGGCGAAAGCCUGAUCCAGCAAUGCCGCGUGCAGGAAGAAGGCCUUCGGGUUGUAAACUGCUUUUGUACGGAGCGAAAAGGUCUCCUCUAAUACAGGGGGCUCAUGACGGUACCGUAAGAAUAAGCACCGGCUAACUACGUGCCAGCAGCCGCGGUAA